AGCAAAGUUGUAAUGGAAAGCCAGGAGCCAGGAGCCAGGACUGGAUUCCUUGUCAACGCCCACCCGAUGGCAAAUGGGGGAAGAGAUGAUUGGAGAAUGUGGCAGGCAGAAAUAUGCUCCGUCAAAGAUGUCUACAUCUUAAUCCCAUCAACCUGUGAAUGUUACCUUCCUG